UNUGACUUGAGUGCAGAAGGGGAGAGUGGAAUUCCAUGUGUAGCGGUGAAAUGCGUAGAUAUAUGGAGGAACACCAGUGGCGAAAGCGGCUCUCUGGUCUGUCACUGACGCUGAGGCUCGAAAGCGUGGGUAGCGAACAGGAUUAGAUACCCUGGUAGUCCACGCCGUAAACGAUGAGUGCUAGGUGUUAGGCCCUUUCCGGGGCUUAGUGCCGGAGCUAACGCAAUAAGCACUCCGCCUGGGGAGUACGACCGCAAGGUUGAAACUCAAAGGAAUUGACGGGGGCCCGCACAAGCGGUGGAGCAUGUGGUUUAAUUCGAAGCAACGCGAAGAACCUUACCAGGUCUUGACAUCCCGAUGCUAUUCUUAGAGAUAGGAAGUUACUUCGGUACAUCGGAGACAGGUGGUGCAUGGUUGUCGUCAGCUCGUGUCGUGAGAUGUUGGGUUAAGUCCCGCAACGAGCGCAACCCUUAUUGUUAGUUGCCAUCAUUAAGUUGGGCACUCUAGCGAGACUGCCGGUAAUAAACCGGAGGAAGGUGGGGAUGACGUCAAAUCAUCAUGCCCCUUAUGACCUGGGCUACACACGUGCUACAAUGGUCGGUACAACGAGUUGCGAGCCGGUGACGGCAAGCUAAUCUCUGAAAGCCGAUCUCAGUUCGGAUUGGAGGCUGCAACUCGCCUCCAUGAAGUCGGAAUCGCUAGUAAUCGCGGAUCAGCACGCCGCGGUGAAUACGUUCCCGGGCCUUGUACACACCGCCCGUCACACCACGAGAGUUUGUAACACCCGAAGUCGGUGAGGUAACCUUUUAGGGGCCA
rnacentral:rRNA from 1 species